rnacentral:rRNA from 1 species
AACGAACGCUGGCGGCAGGCUUAACACAUGCAAGUCGAACGCCCCGCAAGGGGAGUGGCAGACGGGUGAGUAACGCGUGGGAACAUACCCUUUUCUACGGAAUAGCUCUGGGAAACUGGAAUUAAUACCGUAUACGCCCUACGGGGGAAAGAUUUAUCGGGGAAGGAUUGGCCCGCGUUGGAUUAGCUAGUUGGUGGGGUAAAGGCCUACCAAGGCGACGACCCAUAGCUGGUCUGAGAGGAUGAUCAGCCACAUUGGGACUGAGACACGGCCCAAACUCCUACGGGAGGCAGCAGUGGGGAAUAUUGGACAAUGGGCGCAAGCCUGAUCCAGCCAUGCCGCGUGAGUGAUGAAGGCCUUAGGGUUGUAAAGCUCUUUCACCGAUGAAGAUAAUGACGGUAGUCGGAGAAGAAGCCCCGGCUAACUUCGUG